GACGAACGCUGGCGGCGUGCUUAACACAUGCAAGUCGAACGGAAAGGCCCUUUCGGGGGUACUCGAGUGGCGAACGGGUGAGUAACACGUGGGUGAUCUGCCCUGCACUUUGGGAUAAGCCUGGGAAACUGGGUCUAAUACCGAAUAUGAUCAUGCGCCUCAUGGUGUGUGGUGGAAAGCUUUUGCGGUGUGGGAUGGGCCCGCGGCCUAUCAGCUUGUUGGUGGGGUAAUGGCCUACCAAGGCGACGACGGGUAGCCGGCCUGAGAGGGUGUCCGGCCACACUGGGACUGAGAUACGGCCCAGACUCCUACGGGAGGCAGCAGUGGGGAAUAUUGCACAAUGGGCGCAAGCCUGAUGCAGCGACGCCGCGUGGGGGAUGACGGCCUUCGGGUUGUAAACCUCUUUCAGUAUCGGCGAAGCUCCAGGGUUUUCUUUGGGGUGACGGUAGGUACAGAAGAAGCACCGGCCAACUACGUG
rnacentral:rRNA from 1 species